rnacentral:rRNA from 1 species
GACGAACGCUGGCGGCGUGCCUAAUACAUGCAAGUAGAACGCUGAAGGAGGAGCUUGCUUCUCUGGAUGAGUUGCGAACGGGUGAGUAACGCGUAGGUAACCUGCCUGGUAGCGGGGGAUAACUAUUGGAAACGAUAGCUAAUACCGCAUAAGAGUAGAUGUUGCAUGACAUUUGCUUAAAAGGUGCAAUUGCAUCACUACCAGAUGGACCUGCGUUGUAUUAGCUAGUUGGUGAGGUAACGGCUCACCAAGGCAACGAUACAUAGCCGACCUGAGAGGGUGAUCGGCCACACUGGGACUGAGACACGGCCCAGACUCCUACGGGAGGCAGCAGUAGGGAAUCUUCGGCAAUGGACGGAAGUCUGACCGAGCAACGCCGCGGGAGUGAAGAAGGUUUUCGGAUCGUAAAGCUCUGUUGUAAGAGAAGAACGAGUGUGAGAGUGGAAAGUUCACACUGUGACGGUAGCUUACCAGAAAGGGACGGCUAACUACGUG